rnacentral:rRNA from 1 species
ACGGGUGAGUAACACGUAGGCAACCUGCCCUCAAGUUUGGGACAACUACCGGAAACGGUAGCUAAUACCGAAUAAUUGUUUCCUUCGCCUGAAGGAAAUUGGAAAGACGGAGCAAUCUGUCACUUGGGGAUGGGCCUGCGGCGCAUUAGCUAGUUGGUGGGGUAACGGCUCACCAAGGCGACGAUGCGUAGCCGACCUGAGAGGGUGAUCGGCCACACUGGGACUGAGACACGGCCCAGACUCCUACGGGAGGCAGCAGUAGGGAAUCUUCCGCAAUGGGCGAAAGCCUGACGGAGCAAUGCCGCGUGAGUGAUGAAGGUUUUCGGAUCGUAAAGCUCUGUUGCCAGGGAAGAACGCUUGGGAGAGUAACUGCUCUCAAGGUGACGGUACCUGAGAAGAAAGCCCCGGCUAACUACGUGCCAGCAGCCGCGGUAAUACGUAGGGGGCAAGCGUUGUCCGGAAUUAUUGGGCGUAAAGCGCGCGCAGGCGGUCAUUUAAGUCUGGUGUUUAAUCCCGGGGCUCAACCCCGGAUCGCACUGGAAACUGGGUGACUUGAGUGCAGAAGAGGAGAGUGGAA